UACGUAGGUGGCAAGCGUUGUCCGGAAUUAUUGGGCGUAAAGCGCGCGCAGGCGGUCCUUUAAGUCUGAUGUGAAAGCCCACGGCUCAACCGUGGAGGGUCAUUGGAAACUGGGGGACUUGAGUACAGAAGAGAAGAGUGGAAUUCCACGUGUAGCGGUGAAAUGCGUAGAGAUGUGGAGGAACACCAGUGGCGAAGGCGGCUCUCUGGACCACAACUGACGCUGAGGCGCGAAAGCUAGGGGAGCAAACAGG
rnacentral:rRNA from 1 species